rnacentral:miRNA from 1 species
CGGCUUCCCUCAACGCCGCUGC